rnacentral:tRNA from 1 species
GCUGCGAUGGCCGAGUGGUUAAGGCGUUGGACUCGAAAUCCAAAUAGGGUAUUCCCGCGCAGGUUCGAAUCCUGAUCGCAGCG